rnacentral:snRNA from 1 species
UUUGCUUCGGCAACACAUGCUAAAAUUGGAACGAUACAGAGAUUAGCAUGGCCCCUGCGCAAGGAUGACACACACAAAAAACUUACUUCCAGAAUUCCU